CCUAAUUGCGGUAAUAAUCAAACUCUAUCAACCUGUAUCAAUUGUUUUAGUUUUAUAGACCGUUCGGCAAUUUUUUUUAAGAUUUUUUUUUAGAAAUUGGAUUUCUGUUUUGUUUUAUUGACUCAUUUUCUAUUUUUAUAUCAGGGUUUACACGGUUAACCAUUCAUGGGGUAACCCCUUUUCGAAAUCUAAAGAAGUUUCCAUCGAAUUAGGAUUAUCUGUAUUAAACGGAUCAAACAAACAAAUGAAAUUGAGAAAGUAUGUACAUACAUUUUAUAUUCUAUUUAUAUUAAUAAUUUAUAUUCUAUUUAUAUUAAUAAAAAAAAAAGAGAUAUAGGUGGAUUCCUUUAUAUUAAGAUAUUUCACUUGUACUUUAUACAUUACAAUAACCAUAAUGGCUAGUAUGGUAGAAAGAGAUCUCUUUCUACCAUACUAUCGGGCCCCUUAGGAUACUACUACUGAGUCUAAGGGAUUCCUUUCAUUUAAGACGAUAAAUUUAAAUCCUUUUUUUUCUUUGUUUUUUUUCAUUGUUUUUUGUUUUUUUUCAUUGUUUAUAGUAAAAUUGUAUUCA
rnacentral:misc_RNA from 1 species